GUGGGGAAUCUUGCGCAAUGGGCGAAAGCCUGACGCAGCCAUGCCGCGUGAAUGAUGAAGGUCUUAGGAUUGAAAAAUUCUUUCACCGGGGACGAUAAUGACGGUACCCGGAGAAGAAGCCCCGGCUAACUUCGUGCCAGCAGCCGCGGUAAUACGAAGGGGGCUAGCGUUGCUCGGAAUUACUGGGCGUAAAGGGCGCGUAGGCGGACAGUUUAGUCAGAGGUGAAAGCCCAGGGCUCAACCUUGGAAUUGCCUUUGAUACUGGCUGUCUUGAGUACGGGAGAGGUGAGUGGAACUCCGAGUGUAGAGGUGAAAUUCGUAGAUAUUCGGAAGAACACCAGUGGCGAAGGCGACUCACUGGCCCGUUACUGACGCUGAGGCGCGAAAGCGUGGGGAGCAAACAGGAUUAGAUACCCUGGUAGUCC
rnacentral:rRNA from 1 species